rnacentral:rRNA from 1 species
AUGUAUUCAGCCUCAUCAAGGUUCAUCAAUCCGAAGUCCGGUUCACAGUUUCAUGGAAAGAUUAUCCUGGAGAAGGUUAGAUAUUGGUGCACACAGCAAGAGAAGCACGGGCAUGAAGGCGGCAUUCUUUCCUGUGGACUGGCAAAUAAAGAGUUGACGGGCUUCGGGCGGCUGUAUGUAUUGAAACCAAAGAAGAGACUCUUCUUGCAGCAUGCCUUAGUCCUAGUACAUUGUAGUCUGUACAUUUUCAAGGGUUUUUUCAGAGUCAGCCCGUUUUCUAUUGCUAUAGUUCGCAAGCAUGCUCUGUUGCAUCGAACAGUGAGGACGAUACUUGUUUGUUAG